rnacentral:rRNA from 1 species
GACGAACCGUGCGAACGUUGUUCGGAAUCACUGGGCUUAAAGGGCGCGUAGGCGGGCGACCGAGUCCGGGGUGAAAGCCCCCCGGCCCAACCGGGGAAGGGCCUCGGAUACCGGUCGCCUCGAGGGGGGUAGGGGCACGCGGAACUUCCGGUGGAGCGGUGAAAUGCGUGAGAGAUCGGAAGGAACGCCGGUGGCGAAGGCGCUCUGCUAGGCCGUAACUGACACUGAGGGACGAAAGCUAGGGGAGCGAAGCGGG